CCUACGGGAGGCAGCAGUGGGGAAUAUUGCACAAUGGGGGAAACCCUGAUGCAGCAACGCCGCGUGGGUGAAGGAGCGUUUCGGCGCGUAAAGCCCUGUCAGCGGGGAAGAAGAAAGACGGUACCCGACCAAGAAGCCCCGGCUAACUACGUGCCAGCAGCCGCGGUAAUACGUAGGGAGCGAGCGUUGUCCGGAUUUACUGGGUGUAAAGGGUGCGUAGGCGGGGAAGCAAGUCAGAAGUGAAAUCCAUGGGCUUAACCCAUGAACUGCUUUUGAAACUGUUUAUCUUG
rnacentral:rRNA from 1 species